UCAUUUGUUUUUGUUUUCAUUUUAAAGUCACGUGAACUUUUUGCUCUUCAAUUAGAAUUUGUUUUCAUUUCAAUUCUGAUUCUUCAUUUGAUCUGAGUUGAGUUUAGUUACUUUCUUUAAUUGUUUCAUUGGUGUUUUUGAGUUCUUAUCUAAUUGUGGUGAUUCGAGGAAUCUAACGGAAAUAUCACAAGAUGAUGGACAAAGUCAAGUCUAUGGUUUUCUUUAAGACAAAUCGUCUUUUAAAUGACUACACUCUGUUGAAAAGGGCCAAGGUUGAUGAGCAGAAGAGGAAGAUGAUGUUUGGGCUCUUUCCCCUUCGAGAGGUGAUGAGGAGUCUCGUGGAUGGGACUUUGUUAUGAAAGAAAGGCAGUGGAGAGAGAGAGAGAGAAAGGAGAUGAAAAUUAAGAUGUUGACGAUGAUGAGGAAGAUCAUCUACGAAAAUAUCAAAAACACACAAUUAAUGGUUUUGUUUGUUUACGAGUCCAUUGAAAAUUGACUCCUGUCAACCAUAUGAGAUUGAAGAUUAUAUUUACAUCUCAAGAGAGAAAGAAAGAAAGAAAAAGGAAAGGGCCAACACGCGUUCGCGUGUCCACCUUCAACAACACAUUUCUAGUUAAUCAACUUUUGGCUCGUGUCACAGGAAAGUAAAACGAAACAAGAUAACUCAAAAUGAGAGAGACCAAAGAGGGAGGAAAGGACACAUACAGAGCGAAAGGAUCUUAAAAGAGGAGAUAAAAAGACAUGGAGGAAAAGGAGAAAGUCCAAAGAAAAGCCUAUCAGUAAAACACUUCCGUUUCGUAUUUACUUCUUUCCGCUUCCCUAUCACUUGACAAAGAUAGACUAGUUGGCCUGUUUUAACCUUCGAACCUAAAGAAAUGACCAUUGAGAGCAACGACCUUUCAAUGAAAAUCCGUUACAAAGAAAGGGGUCAAAUCUCAUCUUCUUUUGACCAUAAGGUUACAAGUGUUUCUUUUCCUAUGGAAAACCUAAAGAUCAACUUAUAUAUAUUUUUGCCUGGAAAACAAAUCAUCUUUAAAUUAGCAGAAAAUUGAUCAACCUGAACAUCAACAGAUUCACCAACUUUUAUCAAUUAUCACUUUCAUCACCACUGAUGCUCAUGUUUAUGAUAUUUGGGAAAGGAAAAAAUAUUAACCCAAGAAAUUUGUUUAUUUACAGAAAAGACCACAGGCCUUUUCGACCUUCACCAACAUGCGUCUCCAUCUGGGUUGAUCAACAUUAUGUAAAUAAAUUUCUUCUCGCUAACCGCUUUUGAUAAAAGUUCUGCUUCUCCAUCAUCAUCAUCAUCCUGCAUCUUCAUCCUCACCAUUUUCUUAGCCACUGAUGAAACAAUAAUCAACAAAAAGAAUCCAUUCCCCUUAAGCUUUAAGACUGAGAGAUACUUAAAAAGUGAACCCAGAAAAUUAUUUCAGGAUAACGGGGUAAAAUUAAAUCGACCGAACCUCAACCAGAUCUUUAAAAAGAUUGGAAGAGUUUAAAAAAGGUCAAAAUUAUCUGGUGUAAAUUAACGAUACAAUAUGGUUACUAUACCUUGACCUGAUCAUCUUUACUUAUCAUCCAUAUCUUCCAGAUCUUCCUUGGAGAUACUGAACAAGACUGAAUACUAAUUAUCAGUUUCAGCAAAGGGAAUCAAACUUAUCUAAAUGUUUAUAAGUCUCGUGGAUAAUGUAAUUAUCUUUUCUAAUUACAAAUUACCUAUCACCUAUUCUCGUGCCAAAUCAUUUCCAGGAGACAUCGAUAUCUUUAUCUUUCUUCUGGUGAAAUAAACUCUCCACGAAUCAAGAGAAACUGUAACCAUUGGGGAAUCAUUUCAAAUGCUCAUUAAAGAGUAAUAACAAAAACAAGGAAUGAACAACAUUAACAUGAUUUAAUGUACAAAGAUUUUCGAAGUUGUAAAUUUCAACCGAACUCAAUCGAUCGCAUAUUAGUGUUUACAGAGAAAAAACGAAAAUCACACUAACCUACUGCUCGUCCCUUCUCUUCCCAAAUGAUAUCCCAAAAAAGCUCAAAUCGACAAGUGAAGAGACAUCGUAGCAAUUAAUGGGAUGAGGAUAAAAGUAAAACAUGAAGAUGGUGAUGAUUAAGUUGCAAGAAAAACAAAAUAAUUUAUUAGGCGAAAGGGGAAAAGGGCCAAAAGUUUGAGGCUAUUUUAGCCUCGAACGGUGAGGUUGUUGAUUUAAAUCAUUUUGAAUCAACUUGGAUGCAAUUGGAUUUACAAACAAUACAAAUCUCUCCAUGUGAAGGUCAAAAAGUUUUCAUUUACUUUUCAUCUUUGAAUCAAAGCCAAAGGAACCACGAAGAUCAAUUGUUCUAUCCCUAUGGAAAUACACACUAACUUUUCUCGACAAACGUUAAUUUCAAUGUCAAAUUUGAUUCUUCUAUUAUUGUUAUGAAUCAAUUUAAUAAUCUACAAAUUACGUCAAUGAAAUAUGAUAUCGUUCAACUAGAAGAGAUCAAAGCCCUUCCUAUGAAGUUUAUUUCUUGGGUGAUUGAAUUAAAUCAAUCUAAUUCAUCGCAUUAAUCAAACUGUUUCCAUCAUAAUUGCAUUUUAAUUAUCUAUUUUGCAUUCCAUUUAAAUACAUGCAAUGACCAAUCAAUCAGUAAUUAAGAACCAAUUAAGUUGUAAGACUUACCUUGAUUUAAGAUGAAACAAUUUUCAGCGUCUUCCUUUGAAUUGGUUAAAAUCCAUCUACCGUUGUAUCGUUUAUUAGUUAUUAAAAAAGCUCUCGGCAUAAUGAUUAAGAUCAA